rnacentral:lncRNA from 1 species
AUCCGUUUUCCAGCGUUGAGGACCCCACCACAUGGUAAACGACUAUUUCGUAAAUCUGGGAAGAUAAACACCAAAUACUGAACAAAGUGAGUGAAAUUAAAAUCCAUAUGUGGUCAGUUCAUACCGACAACUAAUUCUAAAACCUGGUACAACUGCAAUUUGUCUCUGAUAUAUGUAUAAAGUUCCCGGUGAUUUUAUAAUUCUUAUAAUUAGGCCAAACAAAAAACAUGCGUGUUCUGAACUUUUCUACAAACAUACCUUCCUAUUUUGUAAGCGAAAAAAAGCCUACAUGAAGUUUAAUUUUUCAAGACGCAGUGUUAAAGUUAUAAUGUCCCUCCCAUAGACUCGAUCAGUCUAUGUACAUGAUGUAUAUAAAAAAUUAUAAAAAUGGUUAAAUGGGAAAAAAAUUCCUACCUACAUGUACCUAUUAAAAUAUACCCUAUCUAUUCAAAGAUGUAUCAGGAAACACACUCACAUAUUUUUUAACCUAACAAUUCUGCCAUUUAUCAAUAAGAAAUCAGCUCUAACUUGUUGUCCUGGUUUUCUGUUGGUCUCUUAUUAAACUGGUUAGUAUAAAAUAUAUAUGUUCAAAAAAGUGAAAAUUGGAAAGAAAGGAGCAGAUAUUAAGAAAAGGAUCAAGGGUCGAUGUUGCCUCAACCUUCGGGUUAAUCUGAAUUGAUGAAAUAUUUUUGCCACUUUUAUAAAACACUUAAAUCUAAGUGUCCAUACAUUCAUAGACUUUUAAUAGUACAUUGUAAUAGUUGAUUCAAUUAAUUCAUAUGAAAGAUUUUAACUCAUUUAGCUAUUUAGCUGAAAUUCAAGCUUUGAUAUGAAACAAUUAUCAAAUAUGCCAUUAUAUGUCACUUUUGAGAUGGUUUUUGUCAAAAAUGAAAACGAGUGCAUCCAUGUUAAUUCUCAACCUCUAAAUAUGUUAUGUAAAAUGUAUUGCAGCUCGAGUUAUUAUUUCAAACUGGACAGUGUUCAGCGCCAAGUAUUACAAAGUGAUUGGAUCAGAUCAAAAGAUGUAAAUCUUGAAGCACACAUUUCAACAUACAUGACAUAUGACCUAUAGAAAAAAGAGAAUAAGGAAAGACAGUGAAAAACAGGAAAUAUUUGAAAGGGUAAGCAUGGUAAACAUUUCUUUUUAAAUACAAUGUAUAGUAAUAUUCUGAUGAUGAAAUAAAUUUAUUAUAAUUUCCAUAAGGAAAUAAGCAUACCUCAUUUUAUAUUUAUCAUGUUACAAAAAAUGAAAAUCUGCUUUAGACUCAAAUAAAUUUUAUAAAAUUUCAGAUAAAUAGUGUUUGAAGUAAACAUUUCAAAGAAAAUAUAAGUUUUGUAAUUGAGUACAAAGAGUCAAUUCAUAUAACAAAAGAUGGAUGUAUAAGUACACAGCCACACGUUGGGCUGACUGAGCUUUGAUUUUAUUUUUAAUCAAAUUUGGCAAAAAUAAAAAAAUACUUGUGGCAUGAUUGCCAAUGACAUGAGUGAGAUACAUUUGUACCAGACCAGUGCAUUAGAUGAGUCAUGAAAAGUGUCUCUUGUCCUCUACAUCAGGAAUACUGAUACAAGCAUUUUUUUAUUGAAAAAAACUUGCUUACAGAAUGUGGUUUAAAGUAUAUUUAUUUCUUGGUUUUAAUUUAUAUCAAUUUCUGGUACCUUUAUAAUAUACUUUUGAUAUAUCUCCAUUUGUUUUAUUUUAAUGUUUUAUAGAUACAGCUAUUAUUUCAUAUUGGACAAUGUUCAGCAGCAAGUAUUACAUUGUGAUUUGGAUCAGAUCAAAAGAUGUUUACAUUGAAGCAUACAUUCAGAACCAUAGAAUAAAAGAGAAAAGAAAU